GACGAACGCUGGCGGCGUGCUUAACACAUGCAAGUCGAACGGAAAGGCCCUGCUUUGGUGGGUGCCCCGGGGGCCAAACGGGGGAUAACCACGGGGGUACCCGGCCCUGGCCUUUGGGUAACCUCCGGGAACCGGGGCCAAUACCCGGAUAGGGCCCCCGCCUCCAGGGUGGGGGUGGGAAGGUUCGGCGGUUGGGGAUGGGCUCGCGGCUUUUCAGCUUGUUGGUGGGGUAGUGGCUUUCCAAGGCUUUGACGGGUAGCCGGCCCGAGGGGGUGACCGGCCACAUUGGGACUGAGAUACGGCCCAGACUCCUACGGGAGGCAGCAGUGGGGAAUAUUGCACAAUGGGCGGAAGCCUGAUGCAGCAACGCCGCGUGCGGGAUGACGGCCUUCGGGUUGUAAACCGCUUUCGCCUGUGACGAAGCGUGAGUGACGGUAAUGGGUAAAGAAGCACCGGCUAACUACGUG
rnacentral:rRNA from 1 species